rnacentral:lncRNA from 1 species
UCUCCCAGCCUCUCCCAGCUCUCCCAGCCUUUCCCAGCAAUCCCAGCCUCUGUCAGCUCUCCCAGCCUCUCCCAGCAAUCCCAGCCUCUCCCAGCCUCCAGCCCUGCCAGGAUGCUCACUCUCAACACUGCCCUGCUGGGUGUCCUAGAGUGCCCAAGGCCUAUGCCCCUGCCACCAGCCAUUCUUGUGCCGCUUCCCCCUUUUUGAGUCCAUUGCUGCAGCUAAGACCUGGGCUCAGCACUCUGAGAAAGGUUUGCUAUUCCAAAGACAGCCAAAAACAUUUCACAGGCAUUUUCUAACUGAACCACCCUGAGAGGAAGCCAUCACAUUCUCCACAGCACGUGUGAGGAAACUGAAGACCUGCCUGGUCAAGUAGCUUGCCAGUGGUCACACAGCAAGUGAGUGAGAAAGCACAGCCACACAACCACACUCCAGGGUGUGUGUGUGUGUGUGUGUGUGUGUGUGGUGUAUUUUCCCUGAGAUUCACAACAGCUUCCAUUCAAACUGCUCCAGAUCUGUAAUUACAGGCUUCCAGUAAUCUUAAUAUCUUUCUCUUUAGUAAAGUUAAAUGUAGGUGAAUUUAAGCUAAAUUUAUGAAUAGAACUUCAACAAAAAUGCUUAGAACAAGUAAAGCUCCAAAGACUCAGUGAAGCCUGUUAUCUUUCCUAACCAAUUCUACAUUGUUCUCUUCACCAUGUAUCCUGACCUCCAUCACCACCCUGUGUGAGAAAGGUGUGACUGCAUCCAUUGCACUGGUUCUGCAAAUCGCAUGAGGGAGCAGGACAGACCUGAGACCUGCACCCAGGGCAAAGUGUGGGCCACACACUGGGCUCCAUGCUUUCCAUGUUCUCUGCUUGCUCAAUCCUGGAAGCAACCAUGUAGGGUAAGCAGUGCCAUCCUCUCCGUUUUACAGAAGCACAGAGCAGUAAAAUGACUGGCCCAAGAUCACAUGGCUUGUAAGCGGCAGAACUCCAAUCGCAACCCAGGAAGUCUGGCUCCAGAGCCCAUGCUUAUCCCUGACAUUCUGAAUUUAUUGUAAAUCUUGAUGUCUUUCAGCUUCAGCCAGAAAACAUUCUCCUUUCCUUUUUCCUUGAGACAGAAAAAAAUCCUACAUCUUCCAGCAAUGGCUCCAGCACAGUCCUCUACCACCUGCUGGGGAGAAUCAGCCUUCAUGUGUGGACAGCAUCUCCACAUGAAACCCACUUGCAUCUCAUUCAUCCUCACGACAGCCCUAUGUGUUUGGUGUUGUUUCUCCACUUGACUGAGCAGGAAACUGAGGUUCAGAGAGGUUAAGCUACUUGCCCAAGGUCCCACAGCUCACAAUCUGUGGAUCAAGCCCUUGAACCCAGGCCCCCCUAGACUGGGCUCCAAAGCCGAUGAUCUCUUCUCUUUACUCAGUGGGAGGUUUUAAAUCAGAGCAUUUAAAACACAGAAACAACAGACAAUCCUUUAUAAUAGAAGAGUACAUCAAAUAGAACCACACUAGUGUCACACAGACAGCCUCCUCAUUUUCCCAUAACCAUAUGCCUGUUGGCGAGGCUCGCUCUGCUUGGUUUAAAGCAGUGCUUACAAACUCAAAUGCCCACAGGGACCAGCAGGCAAUGAAAGGAGUGGCACCGGCCUGGGGUUUUACAGUAAUUGUAACAGCCACGGUAGGCCUGCUGCACACUGGAGAAUGCCCACCCACCUGUCUUAGGGGAGGCAGCCUUGACUCUGCUCUAAGCCAUUGUUGCCAUGCAGGGAGGCAGGAUGGGCAUUGCCAACUCAUCCUACUUUUCAAAAGAAGCCAGGAAUCCAGAUUUUUAUGUAGAAUCUCUUAAUUUUUAAAUGAUGGAAACUAAUUCAAAUGUUUCUUUAACCACUAUUUAAGCCAAACAAAACACAUCGUGUAGCUGGAUUCAGCUUAAAGGGUGUCAUUCUGUGACAUCCGGUUUUAAAGUUUAUAGAGGAUAUAAAGUGUAGUUCAUUUAAAGAAAGUCCAAUUUAGUGUAAAAUUAUCAAUUUAGUGUAAAAAUGUUCAAAUGUUUCUCUAAACACAGUAUAAGCCAAACAAAACAUAUCUGGUUGCUAGAUUCAGCUUGCGGGGUACCAUUUUGUGAUGUCCAGUGUUAAACUUUACAGAGGAUAGAAAUGUAGUUCACUUCGAGAAAGGUCAAUUUAGUACGAAAAUUAUCUGUGGAAAUCAAGACAAGCCUCUGAUACACAUGCCAAUUUGUUAAUGAGAGUAUUUCUCCCAGCAGCACUUGCUCUGAAGGAACACUUGGUUCAUCAGAAGAAAAAAAGCCCAUUGUUGUCACCAUCUCAAAUCUGUUGGGUAGAUACCACAGCCGGGUCUUCGCAUGAUCCCCCUGUCUGCAGUUAGCAGAGCUGUCAUGCUGUGUGGCCGUGGAAUGAUCUCCAGAUUUCAUGUGAUGCCAAUGAAGUACAGGAAAAACUGGACUCCCAGAAACCACCACAAAGUAAUCACUCUCCCAUCUCUGCUUGGUACCUUUGAUUCUUCCACAAGCACAUCUCAGGCAGCCAAAAAGAUUGUGUUGAAUUUUAUGUUCUGUGGGUUUCUUUCCAAAAUAAUAGAUAUGGAGUUUGCAAUCUCCCCCGUGAGAAGAAUAUGUUUUGGGAAGAAUGGGAGUCAUAUGGAAGUGACUUGAACCCAACUCUCAGCCUGGAGUCAGGCUCAGUCUAGAGAAGCUGAUCCCUAGACAACCUGCAGAUACAUGAGUAAGAAAUAAAGACCUGUCAUGAAGUUUUAA